rnacentral:rRNA from 1 species
AGCGAGACCAGCUGGUUGAUAGGCCGGAUGUGGAAGCGCUGCAAGGCGUUGAGCUAACCGGUACUAAUGGCCCGUGAGGCUUGACCAU